rnacentral:rRNA from 1 species
GACGAACGCUGGCGGCGUGCUUAACACAUGCAAGUCGAACGGAAAGGCCCUGCUUUUGUGGGUUGCUCGAGUGGCGAACGGGUGCGUAACACGUUAGUACCCUUCCCUUGACUUUGGGAUAACUUCAGGAAACUGGGGCUAAUACCGGAUAGGAGCUCCUGCUGCAUGGUGGGGGUUGGAAAGUUUCGGCGGUUGUGGAUGGACUCGCGGCUUAUCCGCUUGUUGGUGGGGUAGUGGCUUACCAAGGCUUUGACGGGUAGCCGGCCUGAGAGGGUGACCGGCCAAAUGGGGACUGAGAUACGGCCCAGACUCCUACGGGAGGCAGCAGUGGGGAAUAGUGCACAAUGGGGGGAAGCCGGAUGCAGCAACGCCGCGUGCGGGAUGACGGCCUGCGGGUUGUAAACCGCUUUCGCCUGUGACGAAGAGUGAGUGACGGUAAUGGGUAAAGAAGCACCGGCUAACUACGUG